CAAUAGCGUAUAUUAAAGUUGUUGCAGUUAAAAGCUCGUAGUUGGAUUUCGGAGUGGGCCAGUUGGUCCGCCGCAAGGUGUGUUACUGACUGGUUUGCUCUUCUUCGCAAAGACUGCGUGUGCCCUUAAAUGAGUGUGCGUAGGAUUUACGACGUUUACUUUGAAAAAUUAGAGUGUUCAAAGCAGGCUAUUGCUUGAAUACAUUAGCAUGGAAUAAUAAUAUAGGGCGUAAGUUCUAUCUUGUUGGUUUCUAGAACAUACGCAAUGAUUAAUAGGGACAAUUGGGGCGAUUCGUAUUAACGCGUCAGAGGUGGAAUUCUUAGAUUGCGUUACGACGAACUACUGCGAAAGCAUUUGCCAAGGAUGUUUUCAUUGAUCAAGAACGAAAGUAUGGGGAUCGAAGACGAUUAGAU
rnacentral:rRNA from 1 species